CUUUCGAAAGCCUAAAAGUCAGUCGGGCAGUCAUGACAGUGCGAGUCUUUUCUUUUUUCCUAUUGGGAGUGCAUCGUGAACUUAUCUUCUUUCGCGCUUAAGCAGACUGUUCGAUGCUCUUUGGGAUGGAUAGCAUCAUGUCUUUGUUUCUUGACAUUUUGCGAGUCAUUCUUUGCUGUGCAAAAGAAACUUCUGAUGUUAGGAAUGAUGAGACUUCAAGCCUUAGGAAUUGUUGAAGUUGUGCCUUUAACUAUUUAGUUUAUUCUAGUAUUCUAAUCCUUUUAGUAUUUGUAGUCUAAGUAAUUUUAUAUUUUAUUGUGUGGCUAAUAUGUCCUUAGUUCUUCUAGUAAUAUUAGAAAAAGGUCUUCUAAUCGCUUUAGUGAGUCCUAUAUAAGUCUAGUUUUUGGCUUGUAUUUCAUAUGAUUUUUGCAAGACAGAUUUCAGAUUUUCUUCUUCUAAUUUUUCUGUGGUUUAUUUUGCUCUCUGUUUUGAUAUUUAAGAGGUUGAUUUUCUGAUUGAGAAACAUCA